rfam:Lysinibacillus sinduriensis BLB-1 = JCM 15800 contig17, whole genome shotgun sequence.
UGAGUAAAUUAAAUAAUUCGUCGUAUAAUGUCGAGAAUAUGGCUCGUGAGUUUCUACCAAGCUACCUUAAAUAGCUUGACUACGAUUUUUAAUGUAUUAGUA